rnacentral:rRNA from 1 species
UACGUAGGGUGCGAGCGUUGUCCGGAAUUAUUGGGAGUAAAGAGCUUGUAGGCGGUUUGUCGCGUCUGCUGUGAAAAUCCGGGGCUCAACCCCGGACUUGCAGUGGGUACGGGCAGACUAGAGUGUGGUAGGGGAGACUGGAAUUCCUGGUGUAGCGGUGAAAUGCGCAGAUAUCAGGAGGAACACCGAUGGCGAAGGCAGGUCUCUGGGCCACUACUGACGCUGAGAAGCGAAAGCAUGGGGAGCGAACAGGAUUAGAUA